GCCAGCAUGGUGUAGUGGUUUGAGCAUUAGACUACAACUCUGGAAACCAGGAUUCAAAUCCCUGCUCGUA
rnacentral:tRNA from 1 species